CCUACGGGUGGCUGCAGUGGGGAAUAUUGCACAAUGGGGGAAACCCUGAUGCAGCGACGCCGCGUGAGUGAAGAAGUAAUUCGUUAUGUAAAGCUCUAUCAGCAGGGAAGAAAAUGACGGUACCUGAGUAAGAAGCCCCGGCUAACUACGUGCCAGCAGCCGCGGUAAUACGUAGGGGGCAAGCGUUAUCCGGAUUUAUUGGGUUUAAAGGGUGCGUAGGCGGCGCUUCAGGUCAGCGGUGAAAUACCGGGGCUCAACCCCGGGGCUGCCGUUGAAACCGGAGCGCUAGAAUUCCGAUGCCGUCGGAGGAAUGUGUGGUGUAGCGGUGAAAUGCAUAGAUAUCACACAGAACACCGAUUGCGAAGGCAUCUGACGAAUCGGAGAUUGACGCUGAUGCACGAAAGCGUGGGUAUCGAACAGGAUUAGAUAUCCCUGUAGUC
rnacentral:rRNA from 1 species